GUACCUAUUUUCAUUUCUUCUUUUUACUUUCUUUCUUUUCUUUCUUUCUUUCUUUCUUUUCUUUCUUUCUUUC
rnacentral:ribozyme from 14 species